rnacentral:lncRNA from 1 species
AAACAUUUAUUCUUCAUCAAUAUGUUAAGGGUUCAUUAGCGUGAGUUUUGAAUAAUUUGAAAUUUAAAAUUUUCCCCGUUUUAAUUUCUGACAGUAAAUAUUAACAUAUAAAACCCAUAUGAACAGAAGAUCUUUGGUGUCCUCAGUAAUUUCAGUUACGUAAACUAGUCUUGAGACCAAGAUUUGAGAAGCAUCGUCCUAAAAGGCCACAAGAAGGGUUCUGAAAACUGAGACAAAAGACAGCAGGCUCCCCUUUCGCUGCCCUGGCUAGCGAACACUCACCCGUACUGGGACUCUGGGACGCUCUCUCCCCCAUGCCCUGCUCCCCUCUUUCGGUCCCUGACCCUGAACCUCCCCUAUAGGCCCCCCGUCGCCCUGAGCCUGGUCUCCGCUCAGAUCUCAGCCCUGGCCCAGCCUGGAUCCCUGGACAUGAUUCCCGUCAUUCCUAUGGAGACCCGUGGGUAUCGGUUUACCCAGGGGAGGAGGGGACACAUGGGAGGGAAGCACGGUGGUCGUCUGGCCCAGACGGCGGUCGGGGUGGAGGGGCCGCAACGCCGCCAGCCUGGGCUUCCCUCCGGCCCCAGCUCCGGGCCCCUGACCGGCCUGCCCGCGCCCUGGGGACUGGUCCCCGGAGUCCAGGGUCGCCGUCGGCACGACCGCCCUCUGCCAUCAGGGCUGGCUUUCUCGGGCUCUGGGAGGAUCCCCAGCCCGGUGGGUUCGCCGCCCCACGCUCACCGGCCCCUGCCCGCUCCUGGAGCCGACAGAGCGCGAAGCUCUGGGCGCAGUUCCCUAAGGCCACGUGGCGGGGCGGCGCCCACCGCGCGCAGGCGCAGCAGACGGGGCUGCCGCGGAGGGCUCCGAGUCUGCGCAGUAGAGGCGGGGCCGGCUCUCCAAGCCCACCCUGCACGCGGGGUGGGGCGGCCUCACAGCGGGCAGGGUCAGCAUCCUGCGUUCUCUCCAACUCUGAUAAGCUUUGGCAGUGAGGAACAGAGAUUUAAUGAAAGAAUCACCUUCAGUGUGGACUACGUACAACGUCUCAGAGACACCGCCAUACUUCAGUCAGCCCAAGAAUAUUGCACAACAGAUUUUGAUUUGGCUGUUUCUGCCAAAAGUUUAAAAAUUUGCAUUCAAUGUAAAAGAUCGAAUGACAAUGGAAUAGCUAACUAUUACUUGAUAUUUCUAUAUUAUUUCCAUGUUGUAGCCUUAACAGAAACUUAGUAUUAAAAAUGUGAAAAGCACUUUGAGUUCUUUCCCUCUUGAUUUUCCUAUGAAAUUAUUUUGGAAGAUUGCCAAGCACGUGUUCAACACAUGUUUUAUACUGGAAAUGUUUUGCCAUAAUCAACAACUGAUUGAAUAAUCACGAUAAUUUAAGCGUUCUUUUGUUCAUAUGCUUCAAUGUUUUGUUCAUUUGCUUGAAAUAUGUGCUUUGUUUUUAGCUAAAAUCAGAUUCAUAUGUGUUGAAAAAUAAAGAGCCAUGUAUUUC